UACAGAGGUCUCAAGCGUUGUUCGGAUUCAUUGGGCGUAAAGGGUGCGUAGGUGGGCAGGUAAGUCAGUGGUGAAAUCUCCGGGCUUAACCCGGAAACUGCCGUUGAUACUAUCUGUCUUGAAUGUAGUGGAGGUGAGCGGAAUAUGUCAUGUAGCGGUGAAAUGCUUAGAUAUGACAUAGAACAUCGAUUGCGAAGGCAGCUCGCUACACUAUUAUUGACACUGAGGCACGAAAGCGUGGGGAUCAAACAGG
rnacentral:rRNA from 1 species